CCUACGGGUGGCAGCAGUGAGGAAUAUUGGUCAAUGGGCGGGAGCCUGAACCAGCCAAGCCGCGUGAGGGAAGAAGGUACAGCGUAUCGUAAACCUCUUUUGUCAGGGAACAAAGGCGGGGACUAGUCCCCGGAUGAGGGUACCUGAAGAAAAAGCAUCGGCUAACUCCGUGCCAGCAGCCGCGGUAAUACGGAGGAUGCGAGCGUUAUCCGGAUUUAUUGGGUUUAAAGGGUGCGCAGGCGGCCUUUUAAGUCAGCGGUGAAAGUCUGUGGCUCAACCAUAGAAUUGCCGUUGAAACUGGGAGGCUUGAGUAUGUUUGAGGCAGGCGGAAUGCGUGGUGUAGCGGUGAAAUGCUUAGAUAUCACGCAGAACCCCGAUUGCGAAGGCAGCCUGCCAAGCCAUGACUGACGCUGAUGCACGAAAGCGUGGGGAUCAAACAGGAUUAGAUACCCUUGUAGUC
rnacentral:rRNA from 1 species